GGUCAAAUACGACCGUGACCGAAGCUUCUGUUAGUGGCGGCGGCGGUGCAGCUGGUGGUGGUGGUUCUAUUGGCGGCAGUACAGCUG
rnacentral:ribozyme from 1 species